UACAGAGGGGGCAAGCGUUGUUCGGAAUUACUGGGCGUAAAGGGCGCGUAGGCGGCCCUCUAAGUCAUGCGUGAAAUCCCCGGGCUCAACCCGGGAACUGCGUCUGAUACUGGAGGGCUCGGAUCCGGGAGAGGGAUGUGGAAUUCCAGGUGUAGCGGUGAAAUGCGUAGAUAUCUGGAGGAAUACCGGUGGCGAAGGCGGCAUCCUGGACCGACAUUGACGCUGAAAGCCGAAAGCUAGGGGAGCAAACGGG
rnacentral:rRNA from 1 species